UAAACACUAAAAAACAACAUAUAAAAGUAGUCAUUUUUUCCCCAUUUCACCACCUUUCUUAGCCUGCCAACCUUCUUUCUUAUUGGAGUACUUCCUUGUUCCCCAUCCACCUUAUUUUUCCUUGGCCUGCCUACCUUCUUAUGAACUAAGAACUACUCCCUUCUCCUAUUGACUAUGUAGAACUAUUCCUUUCUUUUGUUGGCACUUGAGAACUACUCCCUUCUUCUGUUUUUCUCCUUAUUCGCUUAGGAGUUGGCUUGUCUGGGUUGAUCUCAUAAAGUAUAAAAUCUGUAAUUUCCACAACUAAUCGGAACAAUCCCUGUGCUUUCUUCUUAUUCUUUUCUUCUUGGAUCUUCGCUCUCAACUCCCUUACCUUUUUCUGUUUCAAGACGAAGUGUUUU
rnacentral:lncRNA from 1 species